GAUUAUAUUUCACAUCUUGCUCACACACCGUAAGAAAGUGGAAGAUUUUUCUGCUCUCCUGACUCAUUGUGGAAUAACAGCCAGGAGCCCUGGGCAGUCCUCAGAUGGAAGAAUAUUUAUUUGAAAGGCAGAGACAGGAAGAAAGAGAUAAUUAUAAAGAUCUUCCAUCUACAGGUUCACUCCUCAAAUGACCUCAUUAGGUGGAAGAGAGGCUGGCUCCUAGAAUUGCUAUCUCCACAGCAUAGAAUGACUGGACACCAGUGAAUCACACAACCCAGCAAUCAGCUCCCUGCUUUGUAUGCUCAAUGGGUUGAAUUUUGUCCCUCCUUGACAUUUAUGUUGGAAUCCUAGCUUUCACUAACUCAUGAUCUCAUUUGGAAAGAGUCAUCACCAAUGCACCCAGUUAAAGUACCAGCUAUGUAUUGCGUACACAGACUUCGUGUGUCUGGUAUUAAAGACUGAAGACAAAGCCCUCACAGUCACUAGUGCCAAGAAUGAUACCGUGUUCUGAGGAUAUAGACAACAGCCAAUGGAAGACGGC